CAAAAAUCUUUUUUGUUUUAAUGCAUCCUUGGCCUUUUUGCAACGUUUUAAAGUCAGCUGUUUGAUAAGCUGCAAUCGAUAGUAAAAAACGCGGGAAACUGUUUUUUUACUUUGAGAGCUUACCAAAUUGAAACUAAGUUCAAAAACUGAAAUCAAAGUAAUGGAAAAGAAAGGCCAGGGUAUGUAGAGUUAUUAUAUUAAACAAAUUUGUGCUCAUGUUUUUGAAUAUGUUUUUGUGUGUAUUAAUUUGUGUCGUCCAAAGGUAGAGAAUACUUAACCAAUGUGCCCGUCUCUUAUGGUCAAUAACUAAUUUUGUGCGCAAUUGUGCGAGAAAGUAAUUAUGUAAUAUUGUAGUGCAAGCUGUGUAUAAAAUAAUCCUAAAACUUG